GUACAAUGUACGACGUAUGAUGUAUCAAGAACGUGAAGCCGUAAAACUGUUUAAUAUUAAUUUCUUUUAUCCCCACGCCCACGUGUAACAUCAGAUUACUGACGUCAUAAAUCCAUGUUACUAAAAUCUGCAUCGUAAGAUGGAAGUCAACUGGAAAGUAACACGCAAUGACUUCAAACAUUUCUUCAGCUAAAUGGCCUAAUGACAAUUUUUUCAUAAAAUGUGGAAGUACGUCAAAUAAUAUCAUAAGAUUGCUAGGAUCCCUUUCUGUUUCUAUACUAGUAAUGAGUCCAUAAAUAAAAUCUGGCCCCAUAGCUUUUAAAUCUUCUAUUCUAUUUUCCAAUAAUGUUGUAAAUAUAAAAUAUAUAUUUCUGCGAUCAAGUGUUAAUUGAGAUUGGCACUGCACAUUUUCAAAAAGACUCCUAAGUAAGCAUUCAGGUGAAUCCUUAGGUAAAUGAUCCAUUUGAACCUGGAACAUUUAUGUUAGUUUAUAUAUAUAGCUAUUAUCUAAAUAUAAUUGUAAAAUACAAUCCAAAACUUACAAUUGUCAAAAUUCCUUUUACUACUGCUGGUAUAAUCCUAUGGUGAUCUUUUAAUCUGUCACAAUAAAAUGAUGUUAUAAAACACAA